rnacentral:rRNA from 1 species
GGAAUCUUAGACAAUGGGCGCAAGCCUGAUCUAGCCAUGCCGCGUGAGUGAUGAAGGCCUUAGGGUCGUAAAGCUCUUUCGCCAGAGAUGAUAAUGACAGUAUCUGGUAAAGAAACCCCGGCUAACUCCGUGCCAGCAGCCGCGGUAAUACGGAGGGGGUUAGCGUUGUUCGGAAUUACUGGGCGUAAAGCGCGCGUAGGCGGAUUGUUAAGUCGGGGGUGAAAUCCCGGGGCUCAACCCCGGAACUGCCUUCGAUACUGGCAGUCUAGAGGUCGAGAGAGGUGAGUGGAAUUCCGAGUGUAGAGGUGAAAUUCGUAGAUAUUCGGAGGAACACCAGUGGCGAAGGCGGCUCACUGGCUCGAUACUGACGCUGAGGUGCGAAAGCGUGGGGAGCAAA